rnacentral:lncRNA from 1 species
AGUGAAGCCACCAGUGUCUUCCACAGGUUUGUCCCUUCAAAAGUCAGGAGAGCUCAAUGCAGUUAUGAAAAUGAAAACUCUGUGUCCUAUGAAUUCCAAGGAGGGAUCCUACCUUCAAUUCCAUCAUCGCCCAUUCACAAUGUCACCAAGGAGACAAGCUAGAAGGCAGCCCUGUCUAACUGGGCCAUAUCUGAAUCAGCACAAUGCCUAUUUGGUAGAGUUGUGUAUGUUCCUCGCCAAAUUGCUGGGAAGGAAGGAAUCUGCAAUAUAACAGAAACUUAAUGAGGAGUUUCAUCACUCCUGCCAAGAUGAGUCGAGUGUUUUCAAGCAGAUGAGUGUGAUCUAAGUAAAUAUGCAAUAUGAUGUAUCUUUCUUGUAUUUUUCAUUCAGAAGUAGGGUCAAAAGCUUUAUUAGUUCAAUAAUGUUUCAGAGAGCUG